AGUACAUGCAGCUCCGACAGACAUAACAUAUAUCACACUCAGGAUACGCAUUUCAUGUGAACACAAAACUCAUAAAACUCAUAUGAAUAUGAACACAAAACUCACAUGAAUAUCAGUAGGUUAAUGAUUUAUUUUUAGAUGAUGAACGUAGACAUACAGGACUAGGAUAGCUGACAGAUGGCGUCUAUAAUUAUUAGCCUACUAAGCCACAGACUCCAUUCCUCCAUAACAACAAGGUUUCCUGUUUUAUUUACUGUGCAACAAUUUAUUUUGCUUGAGGAACUUGGGAAUGUUUUGGUCAAUAUGUAAAGAUGCAAGAUCUUAGUUUGACCACAGUAAAAUACACUACCUGACCAAAAGUAUGUGGACACCUGCUAGUUGAAAAUCUAAUUCCAAAAUGACGGGCAUUAAUAUGGAGUUGGUCCCCCCCUUUGCUGCUAUAACAAUUUCCACUCUUCUGGGAAGGCUUUCCACUAGAUGUUGGAACAUUGCUGGGGGAACUUGCUUCCAUUCAGCCACAAGAGUAUUAGUGAGGCCUGGCUUGCAGUUGGAGUUCCAAUUUAUCCCAAAGGUGUUCGUUGGGAUUGAGGUCAGGGCUCUAUGCAGGCCAGUCAAGUUCUUCCACACCGAUAUCGACAAACCACUUCUGUAUGGGCCUCGCUUUGUGCACGGGGGCAUUGUCAUGCUGAAACAGGAAAGGGCCUUCUCCAAACUAUUGCCACAAAGUUGGAAGAACAGACUUGUCUAAAAUGUGAUUGUUUGCUGUAGUGUUAAGAUUUCACUUCACUGGAACUAAGGUGCCUAGCUUGAACCAUGAACAACAGCCCCAAACCAUUAUUCGUCCUCCACAAAACUUUGCAGUUGACACUAUGCAUUCAGGCAGGUAGCGUUCUCCUGGAAUCUGCUAAACCCAGAUUCGUCCGCCGGACUGCCAGAUGGUGAAGCGUGAAUCAUCAAAGGAAAUCAAAUUCAAAUAAGAUUGUGUUUGUCACAUGAGCCGAAUACACCAGGUGCAAACCUUAUCGUGAAAUGCUCAGUUUCAAGCCCUUAACCAACAAUGCAGUUUUAAGAAAAUAGAGGUACUAAAUAAACUAAAGGAAAACAUAAAAAAGUAAAAAAGUUAGACAAUAAAAUAAUAAUAACGAGGCUAUAUACAGGGGCUACUGAUACCGAGUCAAAGGGUUGUGGUACAGGUUAGUCGAGGUAAUUUGUACAUGUAGGUAGGGGUAAAGUGACUAUGCAUAGAUAAUAAACAGCGAGUAGCAGCAUUGUAAAAACAAAGUAGGGGGGAGGUCAAUGCAAAUAGUCAAUUUGAUUGACUGUUCAGCAGUCUUAUGGCUUAUCGGUAGAAGCUGUUAAGGAGCCUUUUGGACCAAGACUUGGCACUGGAUUAUAAACACCUAUAAGCAACGGGUGUGGCUGAAAUAGACAAAUCCAAUCAUUUGAAGGGAUGUCCACAUACUUUUGUAUGUAUAUACCGUAAUUGCAGCAACAGAAUUUGAAUUUUUAUUCUAUAAUGUUGCUUGAUCAGUGGUUGGACUAUUAGCUGGCCAAAAGUAGGCUACAUCAAGAGUGCAAUACUGUUAAUAUUUAACCAUGUGUUAGUGUAGGUUUUCUGUGAAUUUAUGUCAAUCACGAAGAUACUCUGCAUUUCCUGCGGUGCAGGACAAUUCUCAGCAGCAAGAGAGUGAUCAAAUUAAGAUCUGACAUCUGUAUAUAGAUUUGACCAACAACACAUGCUCUUUAUGCAUCCCUUGGUGUAUCAGUAACAACCUUUGAUCUUUCAUUGGCAGCACUUAGACCAGAUUUAGGGAGACAUGUCGAUAACCUCCUAUCCUCUCUGUUCUCUUGAUGUGGUUGUUGUUGUCGUUUUAAAAUGUGUGCUGUACUUCAUUGUGACAUACGGUGAAAAUUACACAAAGGACCAGGGAUGGAAAAGGUCCAGGGAUGGUUUAGGUAUGGGAAAAGGACCAGGGAUGGUUUAGGUAAUGGGAAAAGGUCCAGGGAUGGUUUAGGUAAUGGGAAAAUGACCAGGGAUGGUUUAGGUAAUGGGAAAAGGACCAGGGAUGGUUUAGGUAAUGGGAAAAGGACCAGGGAUGGUUUAGGUAAUGGGAAAAGGACCAGGGAUGGUUUAGGUAAUGGGAAAAGGACCAGGGAUGGUUUAGGUAUGGGAAAAGGACCAGGGAUGGUUUAGGUAUGGGAAAAGGACCAGGGAUGGUUUAGGUAAUGGGAAAAGGACCAGGGAUGGUUUAGGUAAUGGGAAAAGGUCCAGGGAUGGUUUAGGUAAUGGGAAAAUGACCAGGGAUGGUUUAGGUAUGGGAAAAGGACCAGGGAUGGUUUAGGUAUGGGAAAAGGACCAGGGAUGGUUUAGGUAAUGGGAAAAGGACCAGGGAUGGUUUAGGUAAUGGGAAAAGGUCCAGGGAUGGUUUAGGUAAUGGGAAAAUGACCAGGGAUGGUUUAGGUAAUGGGAAAAGGACCAGGGAUGGUUUAGGUAAUGGGAAAAGGACCAGGGAUGGUUUAGGUAAUGGGAAAAGGACCAGGGAUGGUUUAGGUAAUGGGAAAAGGACCAGGGAUGGUUUAGGUAUGGGAAAAGGACCAGGGAUGGUUUGGGUAAUGGGUAAAGGACCAGGGAUGGUUUAGGUAAUGGGAAAAGGACCAGGGAUGGAAAAGGUCCAGGGAUGGUUUAGGUAAUGGGAAAAGGACCAGGGAUGGUUUGGGUAAUGGGUAAAGGACCAGGGAUGGUUUAGGUAAUGGGUAAAGGACCAGGGAUGGUUUAGGUAAUGGGAAAAUGACCAGGGAAUGUUUAGGUAAUGGGAAAAGGACCAGGGAUGGUUUAGGUAAUGGGUAAAGGACCAGGGAUGGUUUAGGUAAUGGGUAAAGGACCAGGGAUGGUUUAGGUAAUGGGAAAAGGACCAGGGAUGGUUUAGGUAAUGGGAAAAGGACCAGGGAUGGUUUAGGUAAUGGGAAAAGGACCAGGGAUGGUUUAGGUAUGGGUAAAGGACCAGGGAUGGUUUAGGUAUGGGUAAAGGACCAGGGAAGGUUUAGGUAAUGGGUUAAGGACCAGGGAUGGUUUAGGUAAUGGGAAAAGGACCAGGGGUGGUUUAGGUAAUGGGAAAAGGACCAGGGAUGGUUUAGGUAUGGGUAAAGGACCAGGGAUGGUUUAGGUAUGGGUAAAGGACCAGGGAUGGUUUAGGUAAUGGGAAAAGGACCAGGGAUGGUUUAGGUAAUGGGAAAAGGACCAGGGAUGGUUUAGGUAUGGGAAAAGCACCAGGGAUGGUUUAGGUAAUGGGAAAAGGACCAGGGAUGGUUUAGGUAAUGGGAAAAGGACCAGGGAUGGUUUAGGUAAUGGGAAAAGGACCAGGGAUGGUUUAGGUAAUGGGAAAAGGACCAGGGAUGGUUUAGGUAAUGGGAAAAGGACCAGGGAUGGUUUAGGUAAUGGGAAAAGGACCAGGGAUGGUUUAGGUAUGGGAAAAGGACCAGGGAUGGUUUAGGUAUGGGAAAAGGACCAGGGAUGGUUUAGGUAAUGGGAAAAGGACCAGGGAUGGUUUAGGUAAUGGGAAAAGGACCAGGGAUGGUUUAGGUAAUGGGAAAAGGUCCAGGGAUGGUUUAGGUAUGGGAAAAGGACCAGGGAUGGUUUAGGUAAUGGGAAAAGGACCAGGGAUGGUUUAGGUAUGGGAAAAGGACCAGGGAUGGUUUAGGUAAUGGUUAAUGGACCAGGGAUGGUUUAGGUAAUGGGUAAAGGACCAGGGAUGGUUUAGGUAAUGGGAAAAGGACCAGGGAUGGUUUAGGUAAUGGGAAAAGGACCAGGGAUGGUUUAGGUAAUGGGAAAAGGACCAGGGAUGGUUUAGGUAAUGGGAAAAGGACCAGGGAUGGUUUAGGUAAUGGGAAAAGGACCAGGGAUGGUUUAGGUAUGGGAAAAGGACCAGGGAUGGUUUAGGGAAUGGGAAAAGGACCAGGGAUGGUUUAGGUAUGGGAAAAGGACCAGGGAUGGUUUAGGUAAUGGGAAAAGGACCAGGGAUUGGUUUAGGUAAUGGGAAAAGGACCAGGGAUGGUUUAGGUAAUGGGAAAAGGACCAGGGAUGGUUUAGGUAAUGGGAAAAGGACCAGGGAUGGUUUAGGUAAUGGGAAAAGGACCAGGGAUGGUUUAGGUAAUGGGAAAAGGACCAGGGAUGGUUUAGGUAAUGGGAAAAGGACCAGGGAUGGUUUAGCUAUGGGAAAAGGACCAGGGAUGGUUUAGGUAAUGGGAAAAGCACCAGGGAUGGUUUAGGUAAUGGGAAAAGGACCAGGGAUGGUUUAGGUAUGGGACAAGGACCAGGGAUGGUUUAGGUAAUGGGAAAAGGACCAGGGAUGGUUUAGGUAAUGGGAAAAGGACCAGGGAUGGUUUAGGUAUGGGACAAGGACCAGGGAUGGUUUAGGUAAUGGGAAAAGGGCCAGGGAUGGUUUAGGUAUGGGAAAAGGACCAGGGAUGGUUUAGGUAAUGGGAAAAGGACCAAGGAUGGUUUAGGUAAUGGGAAAAGGACCAGGGAUGGUUUAGGUAAUGGGAAAAGGACCAGGGAUGGUUUAGGUAUGGGAAAAGGACCAGGGAUGGUUUAGGUAAUGGGAGAAGGACCAGGGAUGGUUUAGGUAAUGGGUAGAGAAGGUAUUGAAGCCCUGUCUUUUGUGGUAUUCCAAUUAACGGAUGAGUGCUAGGGUAAGCUGCCCUCCGUGCUUAAGGAUAAUAGACACGAUACCCAUGGAUCAGAGGAGCCAUAUCUCAGACUAAGCAGAAUAAACAGGGGAGGACUGUGAAAAGUGCUCCUGCUUAAUUCCAGGCUGAAUGUGUCCAAUAUCAUUAACAGGGCCCCAUUCAACAGUAACAGUUAUUAAAACAAUUAAUUGUCUCCACAUGGUGAAAGAUGGUCCUAGAAGGACGUUUACAUUUUUUUAUUUUUUAUGAACAGACAAUCACUGUGUCAUUUUUCAUCGUCCCAGUGUUGCCGGUGGUGUUGUUUGUUUUCUGGUGUGUCGUAAGUUCAAACCUCUUCCUCUCUCUGCUCUCCUCCUCUUCACUUUGUCUCUUAUGUGUGCAUCGUGUUUCUUGACUGUGAUGGACCCCUGAUCUACGGUAGGUGGAAGGAUCGCAGUGAUGCUCUCUGACCCA